GACGAACGCUGGCGGCGUGCCUAAUACAUGCAAGUAGAACGCUGAAGGAGGAGCUUGCUCUUCUGGAUGAGUUGCGAACGGGUGAGUAACGCGUAGGUAACCUGCCUGGUAGCGGGGGAUAACUAUUGGAAACGAUAGCUAAUACCGCAUAACAGUAGAUGUUGCAUGACAUUUACUUAAAAGGUGCAAUUGCAUCACUACCAGAUGGACCUGCGUUGUAUUAGCUAGUUGGUGGGGUAACGGCUCACCAAGGCGACGAUACAUAGCCGACCUGAGAGGGUGAUCGGCCACACUGGGACUGAGACACGGCCCAGACUCCUACGGGAGGCAGCAGUAGGGAAUCUUCGGCAAUGGACGGAAGUCUGAACGAGCAACGCCGCGUGAGUGAAGAAGGUUUUCGGAUCGUAAAGCUCUGUUGUAAGAGAAGAACGAGUGUGAGAGUGGAAAGUUCACACUGUGACGGUAUCUUACCAGAAAGGGACGGCUAACUACGUG
rnacentral:rRNA from 1 species